AACAUUUGUUUCUAUCAGCUGAGUUGCAUGUUUUUGGGUUUUUAUUUUAAGAUUGUGGUGUUCAUGAUGUUUGGUUCCUAUGUUUUGGGCGAUGAAUUUGAGUGUACUGUAUUUGGUUUGUAGAAAAUUUCUUGCUGAGUAAGAUGAAGGUGAUCGAGGGGACCCAGAGGAAUUCUGGAUAUUCCAGCGCUGUACGUUAAGCGUGACGACAUGGAAUCUAGACAAAAAUGAAAUCCAGACGCCAAGCAGCUAAAUAUGGUCUUCCACGGAUCCACCCUAGUCACGGGUCAAAUUUAACAGGUUUGAACAUUAUGAAUUUUAUAAAGCAGGUGUUUAAUUAAGAAAUGUCUGCCAAACUGACACAUACUAUUAUUUUCUUCCACAAAUACAAAUGAAUAAUAACCCAUUAUAUCACAGUGGCAAA